AUCUAGACCAUAACAAGCACACAGAGAAAACGUAUCACAAAUUGUGCUAAAGUUCUGUAAAGGGAUUAAGAUGAAGUGUCACAAGACUGAAUUAGACAGAGUGCCCUUGAAAGAGUGCCAAUUUUUAGAAUGGAGGGUGUAGAUCCAUCCUUUGCAACUGGUGAGGACCUCCUCAGUAAGGCACUGAGCCAGGAGUCUAUACAGCCAUGCCAGCAGGGAGCACUGUCUUUCAUUGUCUGAUGUUUAUUGCAAACCUGUUCUUUUCAGCUUUUUGUUGUUUCAGCCUAGUCCAAAGACGUUUACAUCCUGGAAGAGAACUUGCUGGCUUUUCACCUCAGCAUGUAUGGGCCAAACUAAUAUAACAAGAAGUCUUGAGAGGAGUCAGCGGCCAAGCUCCAUGUCUUGCAGCCAAACAAUGCUGUGGGAUGGAAGGUGGGAUGUCAUGUGUCUGGUUUACAGCACUCACGUAUCAGUUGGCAGUUAACGGAAGUGCUACUGAUUGUAACAGUGGAAGCAAUUUGAAAUGAAAUACAACACUUAAAGCAAAUGAAACGGAAGUGAAUGCCAGCAGUAAAUGGCAAGAAGAAAUCCAGUUCAGUGUGUUCCUCAGAAAUCUUGCCUCUUGGGACUAAAUGCUGCAAAUGUAACUCUUAUCCUUGUUUUUCAAGUUUUACCAUCUCAAAGCUAUCCACUUUAUAUUAAAUUAGUUCUGUUAUAUUAUGUCAAUUUGUAUUCUUAAGAGCACAAGUUUGGCCUCAAAUAGACCUGAGCUGAGAUCCAA
rnacentral:lncRNA from 10 species